GGCGGACGGGUGAGUAACACGUGAGAAUUUACCUUUAGGAGGGGGAUAACAAUCGGAAACGAAUGCUAACACCCCAUAUGCUUUCGAGUGAAAUGGAUUUAUAUUUAUCCGCCUAGAGAGAAGCUCGCGGCUGAUUAGCUUGUUGGUAAGGUAAGAGCUUACCAAGGCGACGAUCAGUAUCUGGUUUGAGAGGACGAUCAGACACACUGGAACUGAGACACGGUCCAG
rnacentral:rRNA from 1 species